rnacentral:rRNA from 1 species
AUUGAACGCUGGCGGCAUGCCUUACACAUGCAAGUCGAACGGUAACAGGUUAAGCUGACGAGUGGCGAACGGGUGAGUAAUACAUCGGAACGUGCCCAGACGUGGGGGAUAGCUCGGCGAAAGCCGGAUUAAUACCGCAUAAGCUCUGAGGAGGAAAGCGGGGGACCGUAAGGCCUCGCGCGUUUGGAGCGGCCGAUGGCAGAUUAGGUAGUUGGUGGGGUAAAGGCUUACCAAGCCUACGAUCUGUAGCUGGUCUGAGAGGACGACCAGCCACACUGGGACUGAGACACGGCCCAGACUCCUACGGGAGGCAGCAGUGGGGAAUUUUGGACAAUGGGCGAAAGCCUGAUCCAGCAAUGCCGCGUGCAGGAUGAAGGCCUUCGGGUUGUAAACUGCUUUUGUACGGAACGAAAAGGCGCCUACUAAUACUGGGUGUUGAUGACGGUACCGUAAGAAUAAGCACCGGCUAACUACGUGCCAGCCGCCGCCGUAACAC